AGUGAACGCUGGCGGUAGGCCUAACACAUGCAAGUCGAACGGCAGCACAGGAGAGCUUGCUCUCUGGGUGGCGAGUGGCGGACGGGUGAGGAAUACAUCGGAAUCUACUUUUUCGUGGGGGACAACGUAGGGAAACUUACGCUAAUACCGCAUACGACCUACGGGUGAAAGCAGGGGACCUUCGGGCCUUGCGCGAUUGAAUGAGCCGAUGUCGGAUUAGCUAGUUGGCGGGGUAAAGCCCACCAAGGCGACGAUCCGUAGCUGGUCUGAGAGGAUGAUCAGCCGCACUGGAACUGAGACAAGGUCCAGACUCCUACGGGAGGCAGCAGUGGGGAAUAUUGGACAAUGGGCGCAAGCCUGAUCCAGCCACACCGCGUGGGUGAAGAAGGCCUUCGGGUUGUAAAGCCCUUUUGUUGGGAAAGAAAUCCAGCUGGCUAAUACCCGGUUGGGAUGACGGUACCCAAAGAAUAAGCACCGGCUAACUUCGUGCCAGCCGCCGCCGUAA
rnacentral:rRNA from 1 species